rnacentral:rRNA from 1 species
AGAGUUUGAUCCUGGCUCAGGACGAACGCUGGCGGCGUGCUUAACACAUGCAAGUCGAACGGUGAAGCCCUUCGGGGUGGAUCAGUGGCGAACGGGUGAGUAACACGUGGGCAAUCUGCCCUGCACUCUGGGACAAGCCCUGGAAACGGGGUCUAAUACCGGAUAUGACCACUGCGGGCAUCCGUGGUGGUGGAAAGCUCCGGCGGUGCAGGAUGAGCCCGCGGCCUAUCAGCUUGUUGGUGGGGUGAUGGCCUACCAAGGCGACGACGGGUAGCCGGCCUGAGAGGGCGACCGGCCACACUGGGACUGAGACACGGCCCAGACUCCUACGGGAGGCAGCAGUGGGGAAUAUUGCGCAAUGGGCGGAGGCCUGACGCAGCGACGCCGCGUGGGGGAUGACGGCCUUCGGGUUGUAAACCUCUUUCGACCGGGACGAAGGGUUUCUGACGGUACCGGUAGAAGAAGCACCGGCCAACUACGUGCCAGCAGCCGCGGUAAU